rnacentral:rRNA from 1 species
UACGUAGGGGGCAAGCGUUGUCCGGAAUCAUUGGGCGUAAAGAGCGUGUAGGCGGCCCGGUAAGUCCGCUGUGAAAGUCCAGGGCUCAACCCUGGGAUGCCGGUGGAUACUGUCGGGCUCGAGUCCGGAAGAGGAGUGUGGAAUUCCGGGUGGAGUGGUGAAAUGCGUAGAGAUCCGGAGGAACACCAAUUGCGAAGGCAGCUCGCUGGGACGUAACUGACGCUGAGACGCGAAAGCGUGGGGAGCAAACAGG